AACGAACGCUGGCGGCAUGCCUAACACAUGCAAGUCGAGCGCCUGUAGCGAUACGGGAGCGGCGCACGGGUGAGUAACGCGUGGGAACCUGCCCUUAGGUUCGGGACAACCGCGGGAAACUGCGGCUGAUACCGGAUGAAGUCCCCGAUAGAGAUAUUGGGGCCCAAAGAUUUAUCGCCUUUGGAGGGGCCCGCGUCGGAUUAGGUAGUUGGUGGGGUAACGGCUCACCAAGCCUGUGAUCCGUAGCUGGUCUGAGAGGAUGAUCAGCCACACUGGGACUGAGACACGGCCCAGACUCCUACGGGAGGCAGCAGUGGGGAGUAUUGGACAAUGGGGGCAACCCUGAUCCAGCAAUGCCGCGUGGGUGAUGAAGGCCUUCGGGUUGUAAAGCCCUUUCGGCGGGGACGAUGAUGACGGUACCCGCAGAAGAAGCCCCGGCUAACUUCGUGCCAGCAGCCGCAGUAAGAC
rnacentral:rRNA from 1 species